UACGUAGGUGGCAAGCGUUGUCCGGAUUUAUUGGGUUUAAAGGGUGCGUAGGCGGUCUUUUAAGUCAGUGCUGAAAUAUCCCGGCUUAACCGGGAGGGUGGCAUUGAUACUGAAGGACUUGAGUAAAGUUGAGGUAGGCGGAAUUGACGGUGUAGCGGUGAAAUGCUUAGAUAUCGUCAAGAACACCGAUAGUGUAGACAGCUUACUAAGCUUUAACUGACGCUGAGGCACGAAAGUGUGGGGAUCAAACAGG
rnacentral:rRNA from 1 species